CCAGACUUUGGUGUUCUGGAAGGCUGUGGGAUGGAGGUGAUCAAGGCGUCUUUAAGGACUCACACUUCCCUGCUGUGUGAUGUUGUAAGGCUGGUUGAUAUUGUAUCAUUUGUUUUUACUGCUGUUUAGAGUUUUUGUCCCAUACACAUUAUUCCAAAAAUAGAUUGUACUAUAUUUUAGGCCAUUUGAAUUUAAUCAACAAGCAUCUUCUCACUGACAUGUCUGUAGUUUUAUUGUUUCUGGCCAGGACAAGGAUGCCUGAAGACAGUUUUCUGAAGACCAAUUUCUCUGAUCUUUUUGAUGUUAAACCAAGGGACUCUGCUCCCAGAUGGUGAUUUAUAACUUUAAUGAGAUGUUCUUGACCACUUUGUGGUUACAAGGGAACACAUAGAACCUCAGAGAAGCAAUCGUUCCUAGUAGUCAAGGUGGAGUCAUACUAUUCCCUCUAACCUCGCUAGGAUCCUAAUAGGAUUCAGAAUGGUCACAUAUUCUGUGCUGUCUCAGGAUUACCCAACAUGACAUAAUCAUUUCAUAACUUGGUAGGACUGGUGGCAGGAUUAAAUCUUCCAUACUAUGGCCCAUUUCAGAUUAUUUGACCUGUUGAAACUCCAAGGACAUUGUAGGCUCUCCUUCUUGUGUCCCAACAGGACUAAGAUCAAAAGCAUGUAUGUUAUUUUUUCCUAGAGUGUUUGUUUAGCAAUGCCUUAUAUUGAGAUGCUGCUGUCUAAAGAACAAGAGGAGGUUCAGGAACACUAACAACUGUUACUCAUAGUUGUAUAUCCCAUGCUCUCUGUCCUCCCCAUUGUGAAAGCCAUGCCACCUAUCCCUGGGCAAUAAGAGCCCGUUCUUUCUAACUUCUUGUGGGUGCUCACCCAAGCUUUGGGCUCAGAUUUAAACAUGCCCAGGGGACACUGCCUUUUUAGGUACAUGCCAUAAUUAGGAAAAGAGUAUCACUUUUUGGAUUCUGGAGCUCACCCCAUUUGGUGGUGAGUUUGGGGAGCAUUGACAGUGCUCAUUGUUCAUUCAUUGAUCAUUCAUUCAUUCAUUCACACUUCCAUCCAGUCUUCCCUCACAUAGUUAUUGAGUGCCCAGUGUGUGCCAUGUGCUAAGCUGGGUACUAGGCAUUCAGUGGUGAAGGCAUGGUCUCAAGGAGGGGCUUCUGUCUCAAUAUAGAAGCUCAAGGAAUUCCAGGGUGUUAGUUACUGCUAAGAGUCUGUAGGGGUUCAAGGGGCCCCAUUAAGUUUGAAAAACUCUGGACCUUCAUUGGCCUCCAAUGAAGAGCCAGGUCCUCAAAGGCCACUGUCAGUGCUCUCUAGAUGAGUACUACGCACGAGGAGGGGCCAAGGGUGGGGCCCUCUGAAGGCUGUGUCAUCCUGGGCUCCAGCCACAGAGGUUUCAUCACAGAGGGAAGCUGAGCUCUGAGCACGUUGCUAGGAUGUGGCUAUUUAUUUUUAUAAACAAGCCUUGAGCUUAAUAUAGAAAUCUGAUUUUGCUUUUUCUUUCUUCUUUCCAGCAUCAUCUGGCUGUCUGGCACCAUCAAAGAACUGCAUUUCUGACCCAACAGGAGCUCGUGGCUAGAUGGGGGCAGGAAGAAAGUUGGGGAAGAGACCUGUCAGCUGGGCUGCCUCACGGGGAGGGGGAAGCACGUGGCUAUACCACUCGCAUCCUGUUCAGCUUCAGCAUGAGUGUCAUCUGUGACACCUACAUGGUCCUUGCUUGAAACAGGAGGAGGAAAAAAAGCAGCUCUGGUGCUAGCAUCUCUUCUGAUGAGCCCACACCAGAAUACAACAGAAGAGAAGGCAAGGCCACACCAAAGAGGACCCAAGUCAGGUGCCAUAAGCGGGUGACGUCUCAACUCUCUGUCCUUUGGAGGAAGCUAUUUUAAUAGAGCCACUUUACUGCAGCUAUUUUGACAUGUGGAUAUUUUGAUUUGUC
rnacentral:lncRNA from 1 species